UACGUAGGUGGCAAGCGUUGUCCGGAAUUAUUGGGCGUAAAGAGCUCGUAGGCGGUUUGUCGCGUCUGCCGUGAAAGUCCGGGGCUCAACUCCGGAUCUGCGGUGGGUACGGGCAGACUAGAGUGAUGUAGGGGAGACUGGAAUUCCUGGUGUAGCGGUGAAAUGCGCAGAUAUCAGGAGGAACACCGAUGGCGAAGGCAGGUCGCUGGGCAUUAACUGACGCUGAGGAGCGAAAGCAUGGGGAGCGAACAGG
rnacentral:rRNA from 1 species